rnacentral:rRNA from 1 species
CAACUGGUAGAAGACCAACAGGGAUUGCCUUAGUAACGGCGAGUGAAGCGGCAACAGCUCAAAUUUGAAAUCUGGCCCUUGGGUCCGAAUUGUAAUUUGUAGAGGAUGAUUUUGGUGCGGUAUCUUCCGAGUUCCUUGGAACAGGACGCCUUAGAGGGUGAGAGCCCCGUACGGUUGAAUGCCUAGCCUCUGUAAAUCUCCUUCGACGAGUCGAGUAGUUUGGGAAUGCUGCUCUAAAUGGGAGGUAAAUUUCUUCUAAAGCUAAAUAUUGGCCAGAGACCGAUAGCGCACAAGUAGAGUGAUCGAAAGAUGAAAAGCACUUUGAAAAGAGGGUUAAAUAGCACGUGAAAUUGUUGAAAGGGAAGGAUUUGUGACCAGACUUUUUCUGGGCGGAUCAUCCGGGGUUCUCUCCGGUGCACUUCGCCCAGUAAAGGCCAGCAUCGGUUUUCGGCGUGGGAUAAAAGCAGUAGGAAUGUGGCUCUCUACGGGGAGUGUUAUAGCCUAUUGUAUAAUACCGCGCUGGGGACCGAGGUUCGCGCUUCUGCAAGGAUGCUGGCGUAAUGGUUAUCAAUCACCCGUCUUGAAACACGGACCAAGGAGUCGAACAUUUGUGCGAGUGUUUGGGUGUUAAACCCUCACGCGUAAUGAAAGUGAACGGAGGUGAGAGCCCUUACGGGUGCAUCAUCGACCGAUCCUGAAGUUUUCGGAUGGAUUUGAGUAAGAGCAUAACUGUUCGGACCCGAAAGAUGGUGAACUAUGCGUGGAUAGGGUGAAGCCAGAGGAAACUCUGGUGGAGGCUCGCAGCGGUUCUGACGUGCAAAUCGAUCGUCAAAUCUGCGCAUGGGGGCGAAAGACUAAUCGAACCAUCUAGUAGCUGGUACCGC